rnacentral:rRNA from 1 species
GGUGAACGCUGGCGGCGUGCUUAAGACAUGCAAGUCGAACGGGCUCUUCGGAGCCAGUGGCGCACGGGUGAGUAACGCGUAACUGACCUACCCCAAAGUCGCGGAUAACGAUUCGAAAGAAUCGCUAAUACGUGAUGUGCUGUCAGAUCCUGUUCUGCCAGUAAAGAUUUAUUGCUUUGGGAUGGGGUUGCGUUCCAUCAGCUAGUUGGUGGGGUAAAGGCCCACUAAGGCGACGACGGAUCGCCGGCCUGAGAGGGUGGCCGGCCACAGGGGCACUGAGACACGGGUCCCACUCCUACGGGAGGCAGCAGUUAGGAAUCUUCCACAAUGGGCGAAAGCCUGAUGGAGCGACGCCGCGUGAGGGAUGAAGGUCCUCGGAUCGUAAACCUCUGAAUCAGGGACGAAAGACGCGAAAGCGGGAUGACGGGACCUGAGUAAUAGCACCGGCUAACUCCGUG